UCUUGUUUCUUUCCCUCUGUGUUUUUCCUUUUUGAGUCUCUGGUUUUAAUGCUUGGCUCCAACUCCACCCUCUGGUCCUGAUAGGGCCUCUGGCAGGAUUAUGAUCCCAGUUAACCUUUGGCUUACCCUAUUUCUAGCUCUGGCUUUUGAUUCUGGGGUUUGAAUUACUGUGGUUGUUAUGAUGAUGCCAGUGUCAUCUGUUCAGAGGCCCUUGCACUGGCUAGAGGUGUCACUGAAAAUGGUUAUGAUGAAGCUGGAGAAGUUCCUGAUCUUCCAGAUUUUCCUGUUUCUGGUAUCAAUGGUGUCCCAGCAGAAAGAGAGGUGAACCUACAGACUUACAGGGACUCACAGAUAGAACGGAGCAUGCCCUGGCUUAGAAGUGAAGGAAUCUUUGAGCUUGUGCAAGAUGACCCAGCCCUUCUUCCUGGAGACACAGGUUAUGAUGAUGUUGAAGACGGCAUCUCUGUGUCAUCACCUUAAGAAUGGAUUUGUGCUGAGAUAAUAUCCCGUGGGAGUGUAAAUGCAGUAUGAUCAGCAGCCUUCUGUCCAAAAUACACAC